rnacentral:rRNA from 1 species
AUUGAACGCUGGCGGCAUGCCUUACACAUGCAAGUCGAACGGCAGCACGGGUGCUUGCACCUGGUGGCGAGUGGCGAACGGGUGAGUAAUACAUCGGAACAUGUCCUGUAGUGGGGGAUAGCCCGGCGAAAGCCGGAUUAAUACCGCAUACGAUCCACGGAUGAAAGCGGGGGACCUUCGGGCCUCGCGCUAUAGGGUUGGCCGAUGGCUGAUUAGCUAGUUGGUGGGGUAAAGGCCUACCAAGGCGACGAUCAGUAGCUGGUCUGAGAGGACGACCAGCCACACUGGGACUGAGACACGGCCCAGACUCCUACGGGAGGCAGCAGUGGGGAAUUUUGGACAAUGGGCGAAAGCCUGAUCCAGCAAUGCCGCGUGUGUGAAAAAGGCCUUCGGGUUGUAAAGCACUUUUGUCCGGAAAGAAAUCCUUGGCCCUAAUACGGUCGGGGGAUGACGGUACCGGAAGAAUAAGCACCGGCUAACUACGUG